rnacentral:Y_RNA from 1 species
GGCCAGUCCAAAGGUAAUGAGUUAUUUCAAUCGAUUGUUCACAGUCAGUUACAGAUUGAACUCCAUGGUCUAAUCUUUCCCCCUUCUAACUACUGUACUUGACUAGUCUUAA